rnacentral:sRNA from 1 species
ACACCAUUUCACAUGGAAUCAAAUAUGUCCACAGUUGUUAUUGUAUAGUGAGUUGUAAUUCUUUUUUUUCUUUUUUUUGUCAGAUUGUGAUUUUUUUUUCUUACGGGCCACUCUCUAGGUAACUUGUAAAUAGAUACACACUGGUUUAAUUUUAUCACAGAAAUAAAACUUAAGAAAUUUUAAGGAAAGAAUUCAACCAUUGACGUACUUGUAGUUAAACCGAGAGCUUCCUUGAUAUUUAUGUAAAAUAUUUUUUGCUGGAAUAUCUACAAAGUAAAUUCAAGUUUAAGUCAUCUGAAAUUGAAUUUUGGUUUUGUAUUUGGAUGCAACAUUCCAAUAAAUAAAUGAUAAAAGGUAGUGGAAGAAUGGUGUAUACAAUUUGUUCUCUAGUUUUCUGUGAGGCAUGCAUACAUGUAAUCUACGCAUCAUCUCUUAAUAAAGAAUACUACACAUGU